rnacentral:rRNA from 1 species
UACGGAGGGAGCUAGCGUUAUCCGGAAUUACUGGGCGUAAAGCGCACGUAGGCGGCUUUGUAAGUUAGAGGUGAAAGCCUGGGGCUCAACUCCAGAAUUGCCUUUAAGACUGCAUCGCUUGAAUCAUGGAGAGGCGAGUGGAAUUCCGAGUGUAGAGGUGAAAUUCGUAGAUAUUCGGAAGAACUCCAGUGGCGAAGGCGGCUCGCUGGACAUGUAUUGACGCUGAGGUGCGAAAGCGUGGGGAGCAAACAGG